AUUAGUAAUUAAUAAGGGUAAAAUGGGUAUUUAGAGAAUAUUAGAUGACUUUUUAACGGAAUGUUAAUCUUAAGGGUAUUUGUGAAUAUUUUUGUUUUAUAGAGGGGUAUUGCUGAUAUUUUGUAAUUUAUAGGGGCAUUUAUGAAAUUCCUAUCUCUUAGAAAGGGUAUUGAUGAAAUUAUUCCAUAUAUAUAUAUAUGUCGGAAACUAUUAAUAGUACCAAGCUGUUGGUGCUAUUAGUUUUUUAACUCUUGGAUUGGGAAUAUGCGGUUAGGAUGAUGUGGCCCUCUAGGGUUGAGUGGGUAGUUGGUUGAAUAGUAUAAUCUAAUAGGUAAAAAAAAUUAAAGAAUUAAAUCUAUAAGGUGGACAAACUCGAUAGCACCAAAUACUUAGUGCUAUCGAUAGUAUUCCAGUCGGACUCUCUCUCUCUCUCUCUCUCUCUCUCUCUCUCUCUCUCUCUCUCUCUCUCUCUCUUCUAUAUAGUAUAUAUAUAUAACACACACUGUCAUCGUCAAAGACGGCGGAAGAGAGUCGAAGCGGGGAAAAAAAAAAAAUGUCGCGUGCGGGCUCGGCGGGGUAGGAGGAGAGGAAGGCGGGGAGGUGCGCGCGGGGCGAGGCAUGAGGGUGAAAUGCGACGCAGGUUGUUUCGCCUUCGCCUCUGCGCCUUCUUCGGAGAGAGAGAAAAAAUGAACAAGAGAAAAAAAAAAAAAAAAAAAAAAAAAAGAGAAAAAGUAAUAAGGGUAUUUUGGUCAGUUUACUGAAAAUUAGGAAAGAAUCUGUAAAAUCGAAAAAGGCAAUCUAGUUUUGCAAAAGCUCAAAAGUUAUGAAUUUUUUAUGCAGAUUUGCCUUUCUUUUUCUUUCUAAUAUGCUUAUAUGCUUAUCUACUGAUGGGAAUUUUCAUCACUGAGGAAACUUAUCACAAGGAAGUAUAAUUUGUCUGAAAUCUGAUUUGGUAUAAUAAAGCCUUUCUUUAUGGCACGUAAUUAAGGUGUAAUGUGAUGUUUAUGUCGUGUCUGAUUAAACUCCAUUCAUAAGCGCUCCUUGUCCACAAAUUUCUUUUAAUUUAAUUAGUAUACGUAUCUCUAUUUAUUAGUCCUAAUUAUUCAUGUUGUUUUGGAGCUACUUGGAAGAAAUUUCAUGUUGAUUGUCUUUUUUGUAGUCUAAGUUCUCUAAUCGUAUUCGAUAAUUCCCCAAUAAUAGUGUUUUUAGUGGAGGAUUGUUGAGCAAUCAAAAUGCCGUAUGAGUCUAAUUUUCGAUGUAAAUCAAGUAAUAAAUGUAUGAUAGUAUUAUUUUGUCUUAUAAAAAUUUGUUUUGUUGUACUAGAUACAUUAUAAUCGUAAAACCACCCUUAGCUAGCCAUGUAUGAUUUGACUAAUCUACAAGUUAUAUUAUAUAUAUUAUUAUAUAUUAUUAAAACGAAUAGAUGCACUUGUUUUAACAGUUUUAAUAGUUAUUAUUAAUUUGUUUUAAUAGUUUGAAAGUAUUCAAUUAAAGCAUUAAUACAUGCUAUAAAUUUUUUUUUUUUUAUUAUAUUAAAGCUCCGUUAUCUUAGGUAGUGUUUGGUUUGAAAACAAGUGGAAUAAGCCCUUAUUCUCCCCUUUGUUCCCAAACGUCAUGUUUGGUAUCCGAAAAUAGUAAUUCUCGAAUUUCUGAAUAAGCUAGUAUAGGACUGGAACAACUGUUCCAUCUUUUUUUCCUGAAACAAACUUGUUCCCAAGUUGGAACAAGGUUAAGUAUGGUCUAAAUUUAAUUCUAAUUAUGGUAUUAAAUUAUUAAUUAAUAUAAUUAAUAUAUUUAAAUCAUUAUUUAUUGUUUAAAUAAUAAAAUGAUUUAUUUAUUUAUUAUAUAAUUAAUUAUUAAUAAUUUAAUGUAUUUAUCUAUAAACUAAUAUAUUUAUAAAGAUCAACCAUUAAUAUUUCUAUUAAUCUAAUUAAACUUUUUUAUUGGUUAUCUAGCUAAAAUAAUUCACUAACUAAUUAAAAAAUUAAAUUAUUUUUUAUAAUUAAUUAAUUAAUUAAUUAAUNAUUAUGAUUUGGGUUAAACCGGAACUCCCGUAUGUUAUAUAUUUAUAUAUAACUUAAUGUAAAAAUGUUAAAUCACGUACAUCCAUCAAAUACGUGUUCAGAUACAUGCCAACCGUUAUAUCUACCAUAUCUUUAUAAAUCAUUUUGAAUAGAUCAAUUGUAUCUUUAGGCAGUGCUUGGUUCGGGAACAAGAGGGGAACAAGCCCUUAUUCCCCUCUUUGUUUCUGAACACUGAAGGAACAACCUAAUUUUCAUGUAAAUUAUUUUAAAUUUAUUAAUUAAAUUUACUACUAAUAAAUUUAUUAAAUUAUUUUUAAGUAAUAUUUUGAUAUUAAUUAAUUAGAUAAAAUAAUUUUAAUUUAAAAUUAUAACUCUUAUUUUUCUUGUUCCAAUCUAACCAUCCAAACACUAUUUACCUUAUUCCUAACAAUAACCCCAAUUUUCAUUUAAAUGUAAAAUUGGUUUAAUUCUUACUUAUACCUGAGCUUGCACAUAUUCCUGAAAUAAGCAGUUCUUAUUUAUACCCGAAUGAAACGCAGCCUUACUUAGGGGUGCAAACGAGCCGAACACGAGCGAGCACGGCCUUAUUCGUAUUCGGUCGUAUUAGAUUCGAGCCGAAUUCGAGCUGACUCGAAUUAAUUUCGAGCCAGAAUAAGACCCUUUCGAGUUCGGCUCGAAAUCAAAAUCGAGCCAAAUUCGAGCAGCUCGAAAUAUUUUUUUUAUUUUAUUUUUCGAGCUAAUUUCAAGCCAUGUUCAAAUUUGGCUCGGAAUUGUUUGAUUCCGAGCCAGCUCGUUAAUAGCUUGAAAUUCUUUAUUUUUCUUUACUUUUUUCAAUUUUAAAUGUUUAUGAAUAUUUGCCAAUAUUACAUUAUAUAAAUUUAGCUACAAUCCAAAUAAAACUACAAUCAAUAUAAUUAUAACCAACAUACGUGCUUAAAUGCACGCAACAAUUAAAAAAAAUCUCAAGAAUAAUUUGAAAUUUGAAAAUAACUUACAUCUCUAUAUUGGCUCCCAUUUCCAAUUGCUUGAAGAUAAAUAGAGCUAUUUUGGAGAUAAAAAGAAAUUAAGCAAAUUUCGAAUUAAAAUAUAGAUUCACACUAGAUAUCUUUCGGCUGGUAAAAAUUUGGAUAAGUAUAUUUUUUUUCUAUUUUAGAGAUAAAGAAAAAUUAAAAAGUUUGUUUCAUUACGUUAUUUAUUUUACGUAAGGAAAGAGAAAUCAAUUUUUUUUUUCCGCUAAAAAACUGGUCGGUCGAAAUUUGAAAUACGCGCGUGCUUAUAUAUACUCAUAAGAGUAUCGUAGCUCUAGCAUAUAUAUAUAUAUAUAUAUAUAUUCAAACUAUUUCGAGUGGAGCAUGAACAAGAAAAGCCUGCUCGACCUCGGUUUGAAAUUAUUUUCGAGCAAAAAAAUUUAGCUCGUUUUAUAUUUGAAAUUAAUUUCAAACAAGUCAUUUUCGAGCCUAUUUCGAAUCGAACGCAAGUUGGCUCGCGUGCGGCGAGCUAGACUUGCAGCCCUAGCCUUACUAUAUAAAGAGUAAUGAAUAAGCAACUCAAGCUAUGCAAAUUUUUGUUGCAAAAACAUGGGUUCUGUGGUGACCAAGUCUAAACCUCUCUUAAUUGCCCCAUCCAAACCAACCCCUAGGGGGAAACUCUCUCUCUCUCCAAUUGACAAGAUCCAAAUUUUGCAAUCCGUACUUAUUCCAUCUAUACAUGUUUUCGCACACGGCGAUAGUGGCAGCAGCGUUGAGAUAGUUAAUACGAUAAAACAGGCAAUAUCGGAAGCACUAGUUCUAUAUUACCCGCUUGCAGGUCGACUUAUGGAAGUAGGGGACGGGGACCUCUGCAUUGAGUGCAAUGGAGAAGGAUUAGGCUUCGUCGAGGCGUCGGCGGAUUGUAGCUUGGAGGAUGUGAAUUUCUUGGAGCACCCUUAUGUGAUCCCGUUGGAAGAGCUCGUAGUAGAUCAUCGCGGUUGGAGAGUAACCGAUCCUCCCGUCGUUAUGCAGGUUUCGUAUGACUACAAAGGUUCAUUAAUUCCUUAAUCGAAAAGAGUUGUAAAUAGUGGCGCGAUAAGUGUAGUUGUUUUUCUUUUAGAGAUAGGUAACACGCUACCCGCUUCGUUUAUUUUAUUUAGAAAUAAACUUAGCUAGAAAUGUGAAUCAACUAGGAUUUGAACUUGGGUCUCAGAUACCAACUACCAAACCCUUUGCCACUUGCUCUAGGGACGGUCGGUGAUAAGUGUAGCUGUUAUUUCAAGUCAUUUAUUGGUUAAUUUACAUUAAUAUAUGUUAUGCUUAGAUCUAAGCAUGGGCCGAGCGGCUGACUUGGACCGCUCGAGCCCAAAUCAUAAUGGGUGGUCUUGGGGUUCAUUUCUUGUUAGGCCCAGCCCAGAAUAUAAACGAGUCUUAUAUUGUUUGGAUUUGGAUUUGGAUUUAGCUCUCAAAAACCUAGCUUGAGAUGCGUGUGGCCUAUGAACAGCAGGUCUAUUUAUGACUAAUCUUUUGGUGUAUUUUGUUAGUAAGCAUACAAAUUACUUACAUUCACCAUGCAUAUAUAGGUAACCAAAUUCACCUGCGGUGGAUUCGCCGUCGGCUUUGCAUGGCACCACUCACUCUCCGACGGCACCGGAGCUGCACAAUUCUUGAAUGCUGUAGGCGAGCUCGCUCGCGGCCUCCCACGCCCAACCGUCAACCCGAUUUGGGCCAGGGAUUCUCUCCUCGAUCUUCCCCCGAAAAUGCCCUCAUUACCUUUAUGGACUCCGAACUUACUCGAGUUACGGUGCUCCGAGCUGAACAUGCCCUUAGAUUACAUCAAUCGAACUAAGGAAAACUUCUUUCGACAAAUUGGACAAUCGUGCACCACAUUUGACGUGGCCUUGGCCACAAUUUGGCAGUGUCGGACACGAGCAAUAGGCUUAGAACCUACUGAACCAGUGCAGGUGUAUUUUGCGGUGAAUGUCCGCGAAAUGCUACAAGCUCAACCAGGCUACUACGGAAAUAGCAUUUUCAUCCAAACCGCCUCAUCGACUAGUCAGGAGAUUGCAAAGGCACCUAUUGUUGAGAUUAUUAAAAUCAUUAGAUCUGCCAAGGGUACGGUUUUGACUGAACUAGCUAAAUGGAAGAGGGGCUUACUGAAAUGCAGCCCUAUGGAGCAUGUUGAUCUCAGCUACAACACGCUUGGCAUAACUUAUUGGAAAAAUUUAGGGUUCGAGCACGUCGAUUAUGGAUCAGGUAAGCCGUUUUUGGUGACCGUACAUAAUGAAUAUAAGUUUGUCUCCUUCUGCAUACUAGGUUUACCGCAUACUCGCGAAAAUGGGGUUUAUAUAAAUGGACGCAUUGUUAAGAAGGAACACUUAGAAGCAUUCCAUGAAGAAAUGAAGCUGCUAGAAUAAUUUCAAAGGAAAGAGGGUUUUCAUCACCAAUAAUAAUACGAAUGGUUUGUACCGUCGAAUUAGUUCGAUCGCCUUACGAUCGAAAAUCAAUAAAUGCCUUGUAAUUUUUAGAGAUUCUCUAACUCUCUAAAAGGAGUACGUGCAUAUGGCUUGCAUAUCUAUAUAUGUAUUUUGUUUGUAGCACACAAAAAUAAAAAAAGAAUGAAAUUUGUUAUGGUAAUUACUUGUGUUUAUUUCUUUGCUUUAAAAUUAAUAGAGGAAUUUCAAAACUAUAUACUUUAACUUCAACAUCAUAAAACAUACCCAAUGUGUUACACACCCAACUAUUUAAUUAAUUAAUGUGUUGCAACUCGUUUAGCUCUAUAUAUUAUAAACAUAAUGCUCCAUAUCCUCAUAUAAAAACAUUAUCUUCAAAUUUUAAUAGUAGAGAUCACUAGCUAGCUCCUUGGAUGUUGCCAUUUAAACCAACACAUAUCUUUUCUAAAUCUCCACAAUAAUCAUUCAUUUGAAGCCCUUAAAACAUGUCACUUAUAUAUAUAUAAUAUAGGCAUUACAUAAAGGAGCUUUUGCUACAUAUAUAUACUAUUAUUCUAUAAAUAAGUCACCAUCUUGUGUGUUUUAUUUAUUUAUUUUGUUUCCAUCAAUCCAUCAUUACCUUGGAAUUCCAUGAUCUGACCCACCAACAAUCAAUACAAGAUUGAUUACUCCCCAAGCAUAUUUUUCCUCCUUUAUUAAUUGCUUUUGUACCCUUUUGUCUUAACCUUAAUGGGGCUACUCUUUGGACUUGCUUGGGAUUAUUAUUAUUUGAGUAGAAUUACAUACAAAAUAGGUGAUAGAUUUUCUAAACUCUAGCUCUUUGGUAAACAAGCAUCUGAAUUUUUAAUUUAGCAAUUAGAUAGUCUAAACUUAAUUAGUAAAAUAGUAUAAUAUAAGCAAAAGUUUCAAAUUGGAACUUGCUUUUAUAGCUAAGAAGAUCAUUUUAGCUUUUUGUUAAUGUAAAAGUUUAAUUAAGACAUUUUGUCUACCAAAUGCUUUUGUAAAACAGCUGUUUAUCUUCAGAAUAAGAUUACACUACUAGAGACAGAUGUUUAAAUAUUUUUUAUUUAUCUUUUGAUAGAUUCAUGACAUGGGCUUAGAUUUAAUUAGGAAAAACUAAAUGAGGUUAAUUAGGCAACUAAUAGGAUUUGAACUCAUAACCUCUUAGAAACUUUUUUGAACUUCUAGUAGACCCUGAAACUGGAUAAGAAAUAAAUAAGAAAAAACUUAAAUAAGACUAGGUCUGGUUCAUUCGAACUUAUGAUCUCCAGAUUUGAUAUGGUGUAAAAUAAUUAUUUAUUUUUUAAAACAACAAACUAUUGGAGAACGGUGUUUGGGUUCUAAGUUUCUUAUAUUCAACAUAUAUAUGAGAGGGCCCUACUUUUGUUUAUCUUUAUAUAAAGUUAGAAAAGAAAAGGACUUAAGCACCAUAAGAGCAAUUACUUGUGAACUCAACUAAGAGAUCUAGUGGUGAAUUUCAUUAGGCCAAUUAUGGGGGGUUUUGACUAGCCAUCCUAGGUUGUUAGGAUUAGAAGUAAAACUUACUCUACACUUUAAAUUUCUUUUUAACCUUCCACAAAUAUGGUAGUCAAUUAAUGGCUUCUAAGAUUAUAUUAACAUACAAAUCACACUUCACAAAAUCAAAUUCUAGUGUUCAUGUGUAGUGAGAGAGAGAGAGAGAGAGAGAGAGAGAGAGAGAGAGAGUAUAAAGCAUAAGAUGUUCUUUUUUAAGAAAGAAUAGUAUUUAGCAAAUUAAGUUGAUUAAUGGCCAAAAAAUACAUUAGUUGGGUGCAUGGUUGUUGUUUGAUGUGGAAAAGCUGUUGAGACAUUCCAAUCACUUAUUCUUUUCAGAUAAUUAAUUGAAUGCUUCCUCCUCCUCUAUUCAAUGCCUAGUUUUAGCAUGUGCAUUUUCUACAGUUCUGUGAUCCGUAUCUAAUAUCAUACAAAUAUUUUAUUAUAGAUGGACGACAAGAUCAUAUGAUGUAUGCAGACACUAAAUCAAAAUGACAUUCAUUAUCUACACUAUUUAUUUUAUUUUAUUUUUUUUUCUAAGUUGCCUGUAGGCUCCAAACCCCUUAUUUUUGACAUGCAGAUGCGAGUAUUCUAAUCCUAACCUGUAAAUAGCAUAUCAGAUAACAACCAACUAUUCUAGAUAGUGAAAAAAAAAACCCUUCUCGAUCAAUAACCAUUAUUUUAUAUAAAAACAACGACAUCCAAUCAAAAAUCUUCGUAAUGCACACAAGUACCCAAAAAAAUGUUAUUAAACAAGAUAAUUUUAAUACAUAUAUAAUUCUAAGCACAAAUUCCUAUAUGCACACGAGAGUUGUGGGUGUUGGUGUGUAGGAGCUAUAUAUAAAUAGCAACCUCAUGAGGCUCUUAGACAAGGCCAAAAAUGCCCACCAAAUUGCUUAAAUUUCUUCUUUGUCUCUACAUACAUAUGGAGAGGUAAUUUUCUUAAUUUGUUUCUCUUCCUUUAUUUUUUUUCUAACAAAGAAAAAAAAAUCGACAUUAAGAAACAUCAAGGAGAUAUACAUGUUAUGCAUGCUUUAAUAUUCGUGAUUAAUUACCUUCAUAUAUUUCUUUGUUGUACCACUCAAUAACUUGUCAAGCCAUGUAUAAGUCUAUGAAAGUGGUAAAAAAAAAAAAAGAAAAACGAAAAGAAAAUGAAAAGUUUUGAUCGGAUGAUUAUGUUCUUGUAAAUUAGAUUCUUAAUUAAGAAGCCUUUACUUUAGAUUAAUGUAUCAAUUAAUCGAUCACUAGAAGUUAUUAAUUUUCUUCUUUUUUUGGGUUUUCUUUUUUAAGAGAGAUAUGCGCGCUAACUUAAGUGCAUGUUUAAUUAGUCCUUCAAAUAACUUAGCACUAGAUGAUGAUGAUGAUGAUGAUAAUAAUAAUAAUAAUUAAAAAAUUGUAACUAAAUGGCUAAUUUAAUUUCAUCUAUUAAUUGUCUUUGACUAUUCUCAUAUUUGGGAAACUUUUUCUAGAGAGUUUAUGCUCUUGUUUUCUAUGAACCUGAACUCUAACCAAGAGGGAAUAUGUAAACUAUUCCCACAACUAAAUUUUAAUAUUGUUAUUAUUAUUUUUAUUUAAAUGUUCUCUAGUGUCAUAUUUAUGUAAUUAAAAUUAGGAACUCUACAUGGCAUAAUUCCCUUAUUAUUUUUUAGAAACUUUCUUCAUUAACCAGCUUUAUUAUGAUCAAUAAUUUAGUAACAAAUUUAGUAUAUAUGCUUCUCAUCUCCUUAUAAUAAAUAUGUUAAGAGAUUCAAUUGUCAUCUAGAUUUCUCCCUCUUUUUGGUUUUUGUUUUUCCUUUUUGUUGUAGUUUCAUUUUGGUUUUCCUUUUUUGGUGAUCCAUUGGUGAAAGAAAAGGUUUAAAAUAGGCCAAACAUAUGGGACUUGGGCACAUGCUUUGGCAACAUGUAACACUUUUAUUAAUUAAGGGACAAUGCAUGGCAUCUAUAUAGCUAAUCUAGGUAUUAUAGGUAUAUUACAUACAAAUCAAAAACUAUACAUAAAAGUUAUAGCUAGCCCUAGAGGAUAGGUUAUUGCUCGACGCUUCGAGAAAAGCUAAGGUUUUGUGCUGUAUUAGCUUCCAAAUCGCUCUCGAGAUAUCGAGGAUUUGUACGUUUGGCCAAACACAAUCAUCCCCCUUUAUCGAUUCGCCUCUUUGUUUACUGUACAAAAGUGUUGCUGAAGCUAGAAGUGAGAGCUUUUAAUCGAAUUAGAGUUUUUCGAUUUCGAAAGUUACAUAUGGGGGCGUAUUUUGAGCCUCUUGCUUGAGAUAGACAUGCUUAAUUUUCAUCAAAAAUCAUGUCUCCUUCUUAAUUAAUCCUCAAGUAGAAAAGCUGUUUCAAAAGGUAGAAAAGUAGAGAUGACAGUACGUGGGCCGGGUCAGGUAUGGAGCAUGUUACGACGAGCGCACGAAUAGAAAAUGAAUAUAAAUGACGAUCACAAAGUAGACAAACCACAAACAGUAAAAAAAAAAAGAUAGAACACAACAAUUUACAUGAAAAACCCUUUGUAGAGAAAAAAAAAUCCAUAGGUAAAGGAAGAGAGAACUUCACUAUACAAAAAAAGAAUACAAUAGUGUGAGAAGUCUAAUACGCUAUAUCGCCUUUAGGGCAAAAAGAAGAAAGAACUUUCUUAACGGAUUUGCUCAAAUCGCUUCCACCGCAGGCAUUUCCUUUUUUCUUCACAAAUCGAUUUUCAAAAUUUGUCACACCACGAAGUUGUCGAAACCAAAUUUUGAGGCAUAUCUAAUAGAGCAUACUAACUUGUUUUGAUUAAUUGGGUAGGGUACACAAAAUUUGACUUAGGCAAACUUUUUUUUUUUUUCAAAUGUGACCAAAAAAUUCAAACAUGUUUAAAACAAGAAAAGAAGCAAUAAUAUAGAAAAAAGCACUGGUGCCCAUUGUAGAUAGUGUGCAUUUUUUUGAUUGUGUAGUUCAAACAAAGCUUUUGCACCCAUGUUUGGGUCUACAUGGAAGAUCCUAAUUGUAGAAGGACAAAUUAGAGGAGCCAAUUGAUUGGCAUAGUUAUAGUGUCAUGUGAAUCGAGGAGAAAGGUACAAGUUUGGUGAGAGAAAAGGGUACUAGGUAAGUAUAUAUAUAUAGACCUAAUAAAUAUUGUAUAAAAAAAGAUCAAUGAGGGUAGUGUCUUAUAUUUAUUUCACACUCAACUAACCAUAAUAUGAGGCCACCUUUUGUUGGCUUUAAUUUAAAGUCACUUUGUAUUCAAGUCUUAACUCUAGAAAUUUGUUUUGUGAGAUUUUAUAUAUAUAUAUAUAUAUAUAUAUAUAUAUAUAUAUAUAUAAUAUGAGGCCACCUUAGCUUGUUUGGCUUGUUUAGAGCUUUAUACAUUUGUUGUUUAAAUAUAGCUGUUUGAAAAGUAGUUCGAAAAUUUUGCUCGAAUCCGGCCAAAAGUGGUUGACGUUAAGUUAAUAUAAGUUUUUCGAUUAUGAGCAUUUGCUUUUGGAACUCAAAAUCUCAUUUUCUCUUUUUAUCAGAAUAAAGGAGUAUUGUUUAUUUAUACGAACACAGUCAAUUUUUCUACUUACAAAGGAUUUCCUUGAAUUGGAUUACUAUAUGUCUAUUGUCAGUAUAGUUGGUACACGAAUAUUAUUCUUUUAUAGUAUAUCCACAAACUGGCUUACUGCUUAAUUAGUUACUGCUUUAUUUUUCUAUGGGACUAAAUAAAUUCUAUUAUAACUAAAUCGUCACGAUCGAUCUCCAUAAUGUGAUAUCUUUUACAGAAACAACCUUGAUGUAGUGCCAUUGCACUUCCUUACCAUGCGUAUGCAUCCUCCCCAAAAUUCCAAACGGAGCCUUCCUAGGGUUAGGCCUCAUUAACAAUGCGGGUUGACCAUAUUGCAUUAUGAUCAUCAUCAACCAAAACAAAGUUAAAAAAAAAAAAAAAAAGAAGAAGAAGAAGAAAAAUUGAAAUGACAGAAAAAUAAAUGUGAUCAAAACUGUAGGUAGGGGUCAACUAUAAAUUAUAUCCUUGUCUCAUAAUGUACAUAAAAUUGCACAGGGAUAUGUUCUUUUCCUUGUCCUUGUCUGGCUCUUUCAGAGACAGCUAAGUAGUUAGGUUGGCCCAAUAGAUUAAUUAAUGUACUUUGUAGCUUACACAUAUAAUACUAUGAUUAGCAAAAAUUAGGGUGGUGCAAAACUCAAAGUAUCAACUAUAUUCUAUUUGAUUGUGAAGGGAAAGUUAACUGUGAAACUUGUGAUCACAUUAACAAGGACAUGAUCUACAUGGUACUUUGGUGAUGCUAAUGAUUGAGCAUCUUAUGUAUAUGUACAUGAAUUUAGAGUAUUCAUGGAGCAUCUACUUCCCACCUACUGAUAAUAAGUUGUCGCAUAAUUAUUUUUAUUUACUAGCAUAGUCGAUAAGAAUAUUUUUAUUCACCUCAACGUACACUCUUUUGAUCGUUGAUAGGGUUUAAAGAUUUUAAGCACUAGCUAUUUUUUUACUGAAAGUUUACGAUAGCAGAGUACGGCAUUUUAUUUUAUAUUCAACGCUUGCGGUAUCCCUGUAGCAUUUAUGGAGCAUCUAUUUUAUACUUUUUUUUUUUGGCUUAAUUACUUUAGCAUCUUAUCAAUCUAUAUACAGUAUUAUAGAUAUAAUUUUAGCUUUUUUCCUAUAUUAUUUUCUUCCUUCUUAAAUAUCACUAAAAUAUCAUUUUCACUGAUCUCUACACUGUUGCGAACAAAUCAACUGUUUUAGACAGAAACUAUAUAACUACUUUACUAAGAGACAUUACUAAAUAGUAGGAAAAAAAGAAAAAUGACCAUUCCAUAAUAGAUUUAUCGAAAGCUUAUAUCAAGUUAUUUUCAGCUAUAUUUUCCACGGUAUUUCUAGUUUUAAAAAAAAAAAAUUUGUUAAAAUGGGUCAAAUAUAUGGUCUAUUAUUUUGAAUUAGUAUUUUUUGAUAAAACUACUAGUUUUCUCUAAAAUUGUAGAUUUAUUAUUUGCAUCGCAAGAAUUAUAAAAAAACAAGACAGUUUAGUGGUGUCUUUAAAAAGAAAUAGUACAAUAUAACAAAAAAAAAAUCUAAAAAAACUAAAACUAUAGUAUAGUGUAGUACAAUAUAGUACAGUUAAGCCUAUUUUUCUAUUGUUUGUUUAGACUCAAUAUCAAUUAUUUUUUUCUUUAAAACACCUUAAAUUAGUGGAGAAUAUUGUUCUAACCAAUAUUUAUUAUUCUCAACAAAAAGGGUGGGGCAUACUGUCCUGACCUUGCUCCUCACCUAGCUUACCCUCCCCCCUUCCUCCCUUCCCUCUCUAGCUUGUAAUCUCGGUUUUUUCUUUCUUCACUGUUUUCACCUUUUGCCGCUUUCGGAGGCCGUUGUUGCUUCCAUUCUGUACACUUAAUUCAUUCCGCUUUAUGAAUGAAGCAUGUAGCUUGCUAUUUUUUUCUCAAAAAAAAAAAAAAACAAAACAAAACAAAACAAAAAAGGUGGAGGGGAGGCACAAAAGGAAACUUCUGCAGGUCCACUCACACCCCACCAUUAUUCCUAGUCCAUUGAUCAUGUUCAUCCUAGCAAUAGCUAGCUUUUCUGUUCAUCCCUUGUUAGUGCCUUCACAUGAUUGUUGAAGAAUCUACCUUUUUACUUUUCCUUAAUCUAGUGGAUUAGGAAUCCGAAGCUCCCUUUUAUGUUUAAUAUAUAUUAUUAAUUAUGAGUACUGCAUACUAAUGCGUAUCUUAAAAGAUCUCUUUAAUUAGAAGCUGGUGAUCAUCGAUACUUUUCCUCACGUUUGGAUUCGAGAUACUUUAAAAGGCUCAGAACAUAAACUUAAUGAGACUAGAGUUUGACGAAAUUCAAGUUUAGAAUCUACAGCUCUGAUGUCAUGUUAAAAGCUAUAUAUUAGGGGAUGUUAGAUAUGUCUCGAAUUCUAGUUCCAUAAGGUUUUUUAACCCUAUUUUGUUUUGAUUAUCCCAUUAAGUUAAGUUUAGAUUAUGCCUAAUCUUAUUAAGAUAUUCUUAAUCUUAGUAGGUUUGUAUUUCCAGUUGUAUUAUGAUUUAACCACUAUUAUAAAUAUACCCUUUCUGCUAUUCAUUUGGUGCGGAAGAUGAGAGAGGGAAUAUGAGUGUAUUUUUUGGGAUUAGGGUUUUAUGAGAUAGACAUAUUUUGUACACCACUUUAAUUAUAAUGAAGAUCUCCGCUCCGUCUUCGUCCGUGGACGUAGGUCGGUGGCCGAACCACGUAAAUAUUGUGUGUUUUCUUUUUCUUCUCUCUUUCUCGGAUCUCUUUUGAUAUUUUCGCAUCCGACGAACUAGAUCUUUUCGGUUUUAGUUCCAAGAGAGGAAGUUGUUUUUAAUAUUAAUGUUCAACUGUUGUUAUCUUUUGUUUAUAAUUUAAAAUCUAUUUAUAUUCCCAUGAUUCCAGGUUCUUAUGCUUACCAAACCUCCUAUUAAAUCCCAUAGAAUGUGAAUCAGUGUAACAACAACAACUCUCAAAGUUGCAAAAGGGAAAUAAAUUAUUUAAUCAUACUGAUAGGAAGUCUCCUUCUCUCUUUUUUUUAAAAUUCUUUUCUGUACCUUCUCAUUAAAUGCUGUCUUUGUUUUUCUUUUCCUGAUCUAUAUGUGCAGAAAGUCCCCAAGUCAGAUUGUGAGCUGCAGAAACCAACAAACCAAAAUAAGAGCUCAGAACUGGUGGGUAUUUAUAAAAAAUUCAAAAAAAAAAAAAAAAAACCAUGGAGUUUUUCACUCUGUUUGUUUUCUUUUCUCUUCAUUUUUCUUACUCUUGGCCACUUUUUUUUGGGCAUCCCUUGUGGAUGACGAUAUUAAUAAAUUCAAGUAGUAUUACUACAGAUCCAAUAAAUCUGAUCUGCGACGUGUAGUAAAUAUGUACGUAUCAAUGCCGCUUCUUUCUUAGUUAUAUGAAGAUAUACAUUUCGGAUAAGCCGAGUAAACUAGAAAAUGUGAAAGAACAAGAGCUGCAUAUAUAUAUAUAUAUAUAUAUAUAUAUNUUGUUUUCUUUUCUCUUCAUUUUUCUUACUCUUGGCCACUUUUUUUUGGGCAUCCCUUGUGGAUGACGAUAUUAAUAAAUUCAAGUAGUAUUACUGCAAAUUGAAUUGAAGGGUCCAUUAUUUCUCUGCCACAGUCCUUUUUCAGAUAGAGGCAUUUCCCUCAGGCAUAAAUACAAGGAUUAAGUAACUCCAGCAGUGUGCAUCAAGUUAGCAGAGCAUUAAUUUCUUUACUAUGUUACCAAGGCCUUAGAAUUUUACCCUUUUUUUGUUUUCUGUUUUUUUGUUGUUUCCUCUACAUUGCUUUGAGCCAUUUUAUAGUACUGGAUUUUACUGCUGGGAAGAGCCAAAUGUCACAUCCAUCAUUUUAUGCCACUACCAUACCAGCACAAUCACAUCUUCUAGUUAAAAGAUCACUCAAAAGAGGAGGAGAAAAAAAAAAAAAGGUAAAUAAAACAUGAGGAAUACUUCAAUACAUCAUAAAUAUUAAAAUUUAAUUCUUAAUUAGUAAAGAAUAUAAUUGAAUUUUACAUGAAGUAACCUGUUGAACAGAUUAUCGAUUUGAAUAGUCAAUAUGACAAUAUUAGAAAAAAAUUAAUAAUAUAUAUCAAAUUUGUCAGCAUCCUAUAAAUAUUAAAUAUCUGAUUUACUUUGGUAACUUACCAAAUUAGAUAAUACUCAAUUUGUUAAGUAUCUAGCUCAAAAAACUAUUGAAUUUAAAUUUAAUUUUUGAAGUUGGUAUUGUAAUGUAAAUUUUAAUUUUGAAAUUUAUAUUAAACUUUUAAAUUUGAAUCUAAAUUGAACUUUUAAUUUUAAAGCCAAAUUUUAAUUUUUUGAUUUAAAUUGAAAUUUUGAAUUGGAACUGAAAGUUUUAUUUUAAAUUUGUGUUUUAUAUUUAAAAAAAAUUAAAUUUGAUUUAUAAUUAAGUUUUAAAUGUUGUUUUGAAAUUAAAUUUUACAAUUUGAUUGUAAUUUGAAUCCUACUAUUGUUGUAGGCAUUUGAAAAGGUCACAGUAUUUUUAGUUGGAUAAAACUGGUUUUGUAAACCAAAAGAUUUUACAAAGACCAAAAUACCUUUAAAUAGAUAUACCUGGUCAAUGGUACCUAUACUUCAAUAGUAGGUCACCUUUAGAGUAAUAUUAAAUCUAAACCAUCUAUUAAGAAAAAUAAAUUGUCGAGAUUUAUAUAGUGUAUUGAAGCAUUACUCAUAAAACAUAUAUAUUCAUCUCGUAGAUACCAGCUUGGGAUAUGCGAUAGUUAAUGAUUAGUUUAACUUUUCAGAAUAAAUAUUUUAGUGUAGUGUUUUUUUAAAAAGUUAAAAGGCUGAACCCCUACUAGUCGCUAUAUGCACUAUUAUAAUGCAUGCCGUCUCAUCAAUAGUAAAAUAAUUUUCAUAUAAGUUCCCCUUAAAUUUUUUUUUUAAUCUUUUUAUAUAAGUUCCUGAGUUUCAAUUUUCUUUUUGUUAUUAAAGUUUCUAUUUUAAUCUACAUGAAAAUUAAGCUUGUAGUCAUUAGUCAACCCUGAACAACCAAAAAAUCAGCAUUAAUUUCACCUUUGAUGAUGAUUACAGAAUAUUGCACAUGGAUGACUCCUCUUUUGUUUUUUUUUUGUUUUUUUGUUUAAGUUCCUUGCAUGACACAAACCUUGCUUUGUCCUUGUUUGUGUGAUCCCAGAUUCCUACUCAGAAAAGAAAAAAACAAAAAAAAUACAAAAACACAAAAAAAAAAUUGUGUUCUCAUCAGUGGCUCCACCCCUCCUUAGUCAACUGCUUGUGUCCCCCCCACCCUUCUCCACCCAUGGUGAUAGAGAGAGAGAGAGAGAGAGAGAGAGAGAGAGAGAUGCAGAGAGAGAAGAGAGAGAGAGAGAGGGAGGUAUCAUAAGAUCUCAUAAAUUCUCUCAACCACUCAACUAAACAGCUCCAAUCUUCUGCAACCAAAAAGGAAAAAGGAAAAAAGAGAGAGCCAUGAAGCAGGAGCUUAAGUUCAGAGAUGAUCAAAAGGCUUCAUCCCCAGCAGCAGCAGCAGCAGCAGCUGCUGCUUCCAGGAGUAGUAGAGCUUUUAGAGGCAGAAGAGAGAGCCCAAGAUCAUCAGAUUCUGCAAGUGCCUCCUCACCAUUUCUCAAAACCAGGCCAAAGCCACCCCCUCCUUCAGAACCACCACCCCCACCACCACCAACAAGAAUAAUAAGAUCUUCCACUUCUACUACUGCUGCUGCUGCUGCUGCUGCUGAUGCUGCUCAUGCAAACAAAAUGAGACCAAACAAUGAUCAUCACGAUCACCGGCCUGCCGCGGGGCGAUUCGCAGAGCAGUUUGCGCAGCUGCGGCCGGACGCGAGGGAGCUGCAGAGGAGGAGGCUGGAGGAGAGUGAGAAGGUGGUGAGGGAGUUGAGGGGUGAGGUGUCUGCACUGAGAGCUGAGCUGAAGAGGCUGCAGGGUGCCAAUUCUCAGCUUGAGUUGGACAACAAGAGGUUUGCUGACAACUUACUGGCUGCCCAGGAAAGGAUCCAACAGCUUGAGAUGCUGAAUCUGAAUUGUCAGGUAAAACAAAAAGUUUAUCUUGUUCAGAAAUCAAUCAUGGUAUCUUGUACCGCAUUCGUGUCGGGCCGAUUUUAGAUCUUUUCGGGUCGUGUCGUGUGUCGUGUUCUGAAACUGAGAAAAUUGAUAACCAUCUUUUAGAACAGUUCCAUUUCCUACAUAAAAUUGAUAACAAGUUAAUGCUCAUUUCAUUCUAUCCAAUCCAUGCGUACGAAUCCUUUUUUCAGGAUGCGAGAAAGUUCGCAGCGGCAGAUAAACUAGAACAACCGAAAGUAGAAGAUGAAACCGACACCGACACCGACGAAACACAGUUGGUGCAAUUGACGCAAAGAGCUCAACCUCCGGAACUCGCGAAACAUAAGGAAUUGAAUGCAAAGUCCUCUCCAACUCCUCCUCCUCCUCCUCCUCCGCCGCCGCCUCCUCCUCCUAUGUCGCGCCAAGCACCCCCCUCGAAGUCGAAUUCGGUUAAUAAAGCUACCGCAUUGGUUGAAUUGUACAACUCGUUGACGAAGCGCGACGGAAAGGACUCGAAGGGGAGUGGAAGCUACUCAAAUAGUGUUGGUGCCAAUCCCCAUCACAGUAUCGUCGGAGAACUCCAGAACCGGUCGGGACACUUGUUGGCAGUAGGUUCUCGGCGUUCUUCGAUAUGGUUGUGCUUGUUUUGUUGCGUUUUUCGCUUUUAAUGUUCUCUCAACUGCGUAAUUACUUGCGUAGAUAAAAGCAGAUGUGAAAACAAAGGGUGAAUUCAUUAGGCAUCUUAUCGACAGAGUCCGAUCCGCAGCGUAUACGAACAUGGACGAUGUCUUAGCGUUCGUGGAUUGGCUCGACCGAGAACUCUCGACAUUGGUAAUCUUCUCAAUUGUGCAUUUUUUGAGUCGAAAAGCAAUUACAAAGAAAGCAAGUUGAGCACAUGGACUUGUUAAUUCCAGCCUGAUCGGUUUUUUUCUGAUUCUUCGCAGUCUGACGAGAGAGCUGUUCUGAAGCACUUUGACUGGCCCGAGAGAAAAGCCGACGCAUUGCGGGAAGCUGCUUUUGAGUACCGAGAUCUGAAGCGCGUCGAAGCUGAAGCCGCUUCUUUCAGCGACGAUCCCUCGUCUCCGUGUGAGGUUACUCUAAAGAAGAUAUCGAACUUGCUAGAAAAGUAUGACAAAUCAUUCCGUUACUCCGCUUCACUAAUCUUACUACUGUUAUACUGUCACUGUCGAAAAUAGUAAGCACGGAAAUGAAAUUUCUUAUAUAUAUAUGUUUUUUGUUAAGUAAUUUUCGACAUUGAUUUUAGGUUGGAGAAAAGCAUGAAUAGGCUGAUCAAGUUACGGAACUCGAGUAUGCUCCCUUACAAAGAGUGCAAGAUUCCAACAGAGUGGAUGCUCGACUCAGGAAUUGUUAGUACGGUACGUGCGUACGUUAGCUGUCAUUUCGACCAUUUUUUGCUUGAGAUUUCAAUCCAACAUAUGUACUCUAGUCGCAAUCUGCGUGUUAAGUGAUGAUACUUGAACUGUUGUUUGCUUUUCUCCCUCAGAUGAAGUUGGCUUCGAUGAAACUUGCUAAGGUGUACAUGAAGCGCGUGGUUAUGGAGCUCGACACGAAUAGGAGCCCAGAAAGGGAAACGGCGCAAGAAGCGCUUCUCUUUCAGAGCGUACGCUUCGCUUACAGAGCACACCAGGUAACAUUUGCUACUCAGUAAGGAUUCAGGACCCAAGAACACACAUGUCAGUAAUCUGACGGAAUUUCAAUUGUUGUAAUUUUGCAGUUUGCGGGAGGUCUCGACUCUGAAACAAUGCACGCCUUCGAGCAGUUGAGAGAAAAGGUUCGAUCUAACGGGAGAGGAUCGAAGGUUCUGAUUCCCGGCAUGGUGCUUUCCUAGCAAAGCUGAUAAGAGAUGUCACAGUGAUCCAAUUUUUAGGGCUUAGAGUCUUUGUAGGUAAUACGGGCAAAAUGUUAUGCUGAAAAGGCAAUGAUCUGUUUUGUUUGUUUUGUAUGUACAGGCAAAGUUGAUCCGGUGACUUAACUCGAUAAGCUGAGACUCAGUAGCUCCAAAACCGAAAUAACAGUUCCGAAAGUGAAUUGUUUGUGUAUCAUUGUUUUAUGCGGAUAACGGUGUUAGUGCUCCAAGUUUUGAUCAAUCAAAGCGAGAAAAAGUGCUUGAAUUCUGUGAACUGUUCGGUUUCAAGAAGAAGGAAAAAUAAAGUGCUUUUCACACAAAAUUGAUCUUAGUUGCAGAAGAUAAUAGACUACAAUAUCAAACACUGCUUGCAAAGCUUCAUCUGAAGUUUCACUACAGGAACAUGAACAUUCAUUUCACUAUAAUCUGUACUUUUUUUUGCUUUUAGAAGUCGAAGCCAAACAAAAAUUUCGAAGUGAAAUAGUUCUCAAAGGUUGAGAAUCCGCGAGGUGACAGGUUUCAUACAAAAGAAAGAAAGAACAGAAAGAACACAGCAAUAAUAAUACGUCGGUUCAAACUCAAAAUGCUUAUUUUGUUGGAGAAGCCUCGUCCUCGCCGUCUUUCGCCAUGAUAGAGCACAGCAUCUGCUUCGAGAUGUGAUUCUCAAGUUCCCUCGAAACUUCUGUGAGUUUGAGAUCGAAGUUUGUUCUAUACUUCUGCGGUCCAGGAGAGGGAGACCCCGAAAUCCUCCUCCGCGGGCUCGAGAACCGCUUACUCGGCGAGCCCGCGAACCAAGCCUUGGUAACUACUGGUGUGAUCUCACUUACCAACUUCAUAUGCUUUCUUGCCGAGUUUACUAGAGGCCCUUGCUUCGUCUCUAAUGGAAGCGGUUUCAUCGGAGAUAGUCGGUGUGGGAGGUUUUGUCUAAUCCUCUCUCUUGCUCUCUCCGCGGCGAUCAUUGCCUUCUCUUUGCUCAUCUUUAUAAGUUUCCACGGGUUGAUCUCGAAACCGACCUUUUUGUUUGAAGCAUUAGGUUCUUUCUCGAUUCUUAUCGAUAAUCUUCGAGCACUCUGCAGUUUCCGUAAGUGAAUUUUGGUCAGGAUCAUGUGUAUUGCCCGAACAAAAGGAGUGAAGAAGAGCGAGCGCAAAACUUACUCGAGAGAGUUCACUUCUUCUGCAUAGAAAUCUAGAGAGGAACGGCGGUCUGUCUGGCGAGUCAAAGUCGACACUCUCGUCAGACGAGGAAUCGGUGUCGUCAAAUGGAUCCAUCAACUGGCUUUCUUCUCUCAUUGCUAGGAUGUAAUCAUAUGUUCUCAUUCCCUGCAGUCAUUUUCUUUUCGGCUUGUCAUUGAUCACGAAGAAAAUCUCAAGUCGAAGAAAAGGGACAGAUUCAAGUAUCCUAAACAUCUCACAUGCCAAUUUUUCACAACAUGAUACUUUUUCUUCUGAUUUUUUCCGUACUUUCGCCGAAUUACCGCGCAGUUAAAAAAACCCUCAAUCUCAAUAACUUCAAAUACUAGCAACUUAUGCUAUAGUUUAUACAUGAUGCGUAAAACCACACCUUUCGAAUGAGAACUACAUGGAAGAAGAAAAGCUGUCCGAGGGCCGCUGUACUGUACCCUGUCAGCAGAGCCAAUGAUAUCUGCACCAGAUACUUAAAUUCGAUAAAAUUACACAACUGAGAUUCUAAAUUUGAGCAAUAGUUCAAACCAAUACCGAUAUCGCGGCGAGAACUCCUUUAGGGAACUUGAUGCGGAGCUUCUGCACCAUUUCCUGCUCCAUCCCUUUGCUGUCCGCGAAGCAGCGGAUGAAGAUUGCAACUGCUGUUCCUCCCUCUAUAGUUAGCUACACGAAAAGAUCGUCGCAUUCAAAUUAUCGUCUUUAAAAACUCGCAUUUUGUCGCAAAAACAUUAAAAGAGAGAGAGAGAGAGAUUAUAGAACUACGGACCAUGAGCAAUACAAACACCAUCAGUAGAAUGAAGGUGGUGUAGUUCCUUCUCCCUAUGCAGUUGUUUAGCCACUGCCGAAAAUCUCACGGUUAGCGUAGUAGUACAUAAACAAAUUUAAAAUUUAAAAUUUACAAGCUACGCAUUUCUGAGUUAAAAUUCGCGAGACUCCGCACCCUGCAAUGGUGGUCGAAUCCGUCGACGCACCGAUCGCAACUUCUGCAGUGCUUGCUGUUCCUUCUGACCUAAAAAACGAAGAAAACAUACUCGAACCUACGACCAAAAUCUAACAAUUUUACAAAUUUGGCCUCGAAAUCGACCUCGAAAUCGCAGAGAGCGCAGAACGAGAUGUCGUCGCCUUUCCGAUGCGGCGAGACGGCGUCGUCCGUCACAACGAGAGGGAACGGCAGAAGCGGCUCCAACUGAAUGCUGCUAUUCCACUGCUCCAAAUAGUUCCUCCUUAUGCAGCAACUCAGUAUCUUAUCCUCCAAUUUUCGUAAAAAUCUCACCACAAUAUGGCAAAAAAUGUGCCUGUAAUUGAUCCGCGGGAGUUUUCCGGAUUUGGGCCCUCUCCGUUUCCUCGCGUCGGUUCGAUCGGUCGGAUCGAUCGCAGUACACCUCACGUAUAACACAGCAACAGAGAUGGCCUAUCGAAAGACGAAAAAUUCAAAAUUUUUAGCCGCAAUUCGUGUCUCUGAAACAUUCAUACUACAUUUAAUAAAAAUAAAAAAAACAAAUUGAAGGGUGCAUGAUUCAACUUACAGUGAAGGAGAACAAUGUGAGCGCCGUGUUUUCGACGAUUCGGUUUCCGAGGAACGGCCCGAGGAAGAUGUAGAAGGCGGAGACGAGGACGAUGAAAACUGCCGUCCCGACGAACUGCGUCGGCCGAAUGAGAUUUUCGUAACAACAGUUCAAUCAGUUAUUGUGAAAUUCACCAAAAAUGUGGUUAUAAAAUUGAAUUUAAGAUGCAAUUUGGCAAAAGAAAUUUUUGAAAAGUCACAGAUUCUGAAAAUUAAGAUGCAAAAUAACAAAUUUUUCAGAACCAUUUCAAAUCAGAGCGUCUGAAAUUUAAGAAAUCAACAAAACUCAAACCCUUGGUUGGUUUUUGAAUGAUGCAAACAAUUUCAAAUUAGAAAAAAUCUCAAAAUUAAGAUGGAAAUUAACAAAUUUUCAAACCUGGAGGGGAUGAAGUGGGAGCUGCCACCCAUGGCGCCGCAUGCUGCUGCAGCUUCCUUUUUUUUUGGUUUUUUCUCACACUUUUUGCUUCUUUGGAGUAAGAUUCAGGAACUAGAGCUUGUGAUUCGAGUAGGGUUUCCUUUCAAAAUCAUCAAAACCCCCGAAACUCGAUCCAAAAUCUCAUCUUUUUUUAGCUUUUCGGAGUGUUGUUCGUGUGCAACGGACUCGUAGGUGUACUGUGUACUACUGAGGGAAAAAUAAAAGCAAAAAAAAGGGGGAAAAAAAAAAGAAAAAACCAACGGUUGGAUCGGCGAGCGACACAAAUUUUUUGAAUUUUGAAACGUUAACGUCUCGGAUCCGGAAACCAUCCGGUGAGUUUAUGUGACGCGUCACCCCCCAAUUGGGCCUGGGCCUGGCCCAGCCCAAACUCUUAUUCGGUCGUGUUUGUAGAUGUUGUGCUUUGCUAUUCUGUGGUUUUGUUUUUAUUUCGCUGCAACGACCCGACGCGUCAAAUAGGUUUGAAAGAUGUGUCAGUUUACAAACCACAUGAUAGUAAAGAGAUACAUCGUAAUAAUCUUAUAUAACGCGGCGUAUUUUAACUUUACCUUUUUGUAGUUUAAAAGUUUUGCUGAACUAUAGUCGGUCGUUUUCCACGAAACAGACUUCGAGAUCGACAAUCUAUACGGUUAAACAUUAUAUAAAGUAUUUACGCAUUCUAGAAAUUGUGAUUUCUUGACAUCAUUUACUUUAUGAUCAAAAGGCUUCAAAAUUAAUAACAUUAAUUGUCAGUAUAAGAUGUUGUCUAGUUUAACAGUGUAGAAGAAUAAAAAUCGGUUGAAUUUUUAAUAGAAAAUUCUAUUCACUAUUUAGGUCAAAAUUAAUAACAUUGAUUUUAAAUUGAAGAAUCUGAUCCUCUAUUCUACAAAAUAGUUCGAUUUUAAUCAUUUAUUUUGUACCCGCUCGAUGGAUUUUAUUGUAAUUUUUAAAAAUUACAAAAGCAUUUCAAAUACUGUAAAUUAUAUUUAACGGUAUAAAUCAUCAAUUUGAAAGUUUUAUUAUUAAAAAUAUUUUAUGAGUAGGCUUUCGUACGGUUGAUCAUAACUAAAAUUAGAUAGUCAUUUUAAAAAAUAAAAGUAUAUAAAACUCAUCUGAAGUACGAACCAUUUUAAAACAAUUAACAAUAUUUUAAAAUUUUAAUUUGAGUCCGUCGAUAGCAUUUUAACUUCAUAAUUUGAAUAUGCUAUUAUUUUGGCAAGUUUAGUUAUUAUACUUUGUAUAAUUCUUAUGACUAUAAAUUUAUUAAAAUAAUAACGUAUUCAAAUUAUGGACGAUUGGACCACCUAGACCCAACUUGGCUCAACCAUCUCCCGCAUUGUUUACUCGCACGCACCGUUGAUGAGACAUCAAACGGCCACGAUUCAAUCCCCCGAUUCGCGAACUAAACCCACCGUAGACCUAAUCCCCCGCAACAUUACUACGAGUUCCGACCCCCUCCCCCGCCCAUUUAAUCCUAAACCUAAUCCUAACCCUAACCCUAACCGUAAUCCGAACACGAUCGCUCUCCGAUGGCGUCCUCCUCCUCCGCCGCGGCGGCGGCGGAAGCGACGAGCGCGGGUCCUAACCCUAAGAGGGGGAGGCGGGGGGCGGCGGAGAAGCUGUGGACGGAGGCGGAGGAGAUGGCGAUCCUGGAGGGGUUUUUGGAGUUCGUGACGGAGCGGGGGACGCCGACGCGCGCGCCCGACCACCACCACCACCACCACGACACCGCCCCCUUCUUCGAGCGGAUCCGCCCCCGCCUCCGCCGCGCCGACCUCAACCGCGCCCAGCUCGCCGACAAGCUGCGCCGCCUCAAGAGGAAGUACCGCGCCGCCGCCUCCCGCCUCGCCGCCGCCCCCUCCGCCGCCGCCGCCGCCGCCUUCAGGACCCCCCACGACCGCGCCACCUUCGAGCUCGCCCGCAAGAUCUGGAGCCCCGCCACGCCGGCGCCGGAGCCGGAGGAGGGGAGGAAGGGGAUGGAGGAGAAGUGGAGGGAGCAGCAGAUCCUGGAGCUCGAGGUGCUUCUGAAGAGAGCGGAGCUUCUCCAUGAGCACUUCUCCGCGAAGCUCGAGGAGAUGAGAUCGACGACGACGACGACGAGUUCAAACUAGUGGCAUUUCGGUUAUUUACACGAACUCAGAGGUGAGUUUUAUAUCUAUCCUCCAAAAGUGGUUUUUUCUUUUUUUAAAAAAAAAUCUUAGUUUUGAAAAUAAAAUAUACAGGAGCCCCCUCAACUAUUUAUUCGUUUAUUUCGACACCUUCUCACCUUUACUUCUUUUUUUGGAAUUCAAAUUAUUCGCGUCUACUGAAUUAGUAGUAUGAUUAAAUUUAAUUGAAGAAUCUGUCAAUUUUCCCAAAAAGAUCAAAUCUAAAAAAUAAAAAAAGAAAUUGUUGAGGGGUCUCCGUGGUUAUUCUGUGUUAUAAUAGGUCUCCUCCUAUUUAUCUUGUGAUAUAAUGUAAAAAAAAAGGGGGUUAAAUUAGAAAUAAUUUUUCGUAGGGGGUGAGGAGGAUUUAUCUGUAAAUAUGUGUAUUAAUGCUGGGUACGGUCACAUGUAUUCAUACAUACAUGUAUGUGUUAUAAGUUGCUUGGUUUAUAGAUUGGAAAUGUAACAGUUUAUUUAAAUAUGUUCCUAUUUUUAUUUUUCUUUUUGUUUUUAGAACAGUUUGGUUGCACGUAUUUACAAUCGCUCUGCAGUGAUAGUUACAUACAGAUUUAAAUAUAAUAUUUAAUUUCAUGCAUUUGUAAAUAUAAUUUCAACAGUCGUAGUGAUCUAUGGAGGAAUGUAGAUAUAUUUUCAGCCAUAGUUAGUUAAUUUGUGAAUUAUUCAUGAAUUAUUUAUAAUUUUUUUAAAAUUCGAAUAAAACAGUACGUAUGCUAUUUAUUUCCAAAAAAUCAGAAUAAAGCACGACUUUUUAAGUUAGAUUUAUUAUUCGCAAAUAAUUCGCAUUUGCCAAACUAUUCGCUCAAAAAAACGCGCAGAAUUUUUGGAUAAAAUCUUUUUCUUCAUUAUUCGCAAAUUAUUGAAAAAUUUAUAAAUUUUCGAAAUAUGUUGAUCAAGAAAAAGAUGAAGAUAGAGACGACAAUAAAUUUUGUUAUUAUUAUUUUUUACCUAAUCUAUUUUAUUUUAUAAUUCUCUAUUUUUAUAUUCUUAAAAAUUUAUAAUUAUUUAUGCUAGUAGCAUAAAUCUAAAAAAAAAAGUUUAAUUUAAUAGCCGAAUUUUUUAUCUCGAAUUUUUAAUUAAUGAACGUAUAAUUUUCGUAUAAAUUGCAUAUCGGAAUAAAUGGCGAACCUUAUUUUUAAGCUGUAUGUCUCAACAAAUUUUAAAAUUAGAAUACAACUUAUGCUCUUAUUAUAUCCGUAUCAAAUUUUUGUCGAAUCCGAAUUAACUAACUAUGUUUUCAACUACACGGCAUCUGCAGUUGCAUCUAAUUACAUUGAAUUGAUGACCCACACUAGGGGACCUAGUUAAACCUCCAUUAAUUAAACCUCCAAUAAUUAAUAUAAGAUCCUAAUCAAAACCUUGAAUUUGACAACACUUGAUUGCGUAUAAAUUAUCUCGCGCACGUUUUCACGAUUUGAAUGUGCAGAAACUUUCUGAAUACUGUAUCAUCAAUAGUGAUUCGUCACAUAGUACGAGAGUUAAAUCAGAUCUAGCAGACACGGUGGAUUUUAUCAUUUAUCAAGUGAUCGAAAUAUACGUCGCAUUCUCCGUGCGCAGAAAAAUUUUCUGUACUGAGCAUAAGACAAUUUGUGCCCUAAUUUGUCUUUCCUAACAUGCUUACUUUUUAUUAAAUAAAUAGAUAGACUAGCCCAGGUCAGUUUGGGCCUAUAGUUAGUCCUACACAUAGAUAUCAAAUUAUUUUUCAGUUUAAAGCAAAAAAAAUAAGGUUUAUAAGAAAGAGAUGCCACAAUGGAGAUUGAUUUAGGCUAAAUUAUAGAAAACUCUUCUGUCAAAUUUUUUACUUUUUUUUUCUGUCAUUUAAAAACCUACACUUUGCCUCCUUGUAAAAUGAAAAAUGUGCACUUAUCGUUAGUGAUCCGUCAAGGUUCUGUUAUAAAAUAAUUUUUUAUGUCAAAAAUACCUCUCCGCACUCUUUCCUGUUGCUUCGCCUCCCUCCGGGUUGCAGCCUCGCCGUCGCCUCCCGCUCCUCCACUGCCUCGCCCUCGCUCACAUCCCCUUCGCCGUCUCGCCUUCGCCGCCUCGCCUUCGCCCUCGUUGCCCUUGCCUACCUCUCCAUCAGCACUCAUCUUGAUUUUCUCCUUACUGUCGCCGAAAUCGAAGGCGGCGAGGGUGCAGGAGGAGAAAGGGAGCAGGUGUAGAAAAAAAUGGAGAGAAAUCACAGCCGAUCGAGGUGUGAAUCGUAGCCGAUCAAGACGGCGGUUGAGAAAAAUGAGGGAGGAGACGAAAAUGGUGAGGGGCAAAAUGAUCAUUUUACACACCGUACCUCUCCUGUGAAUAUUUUUUAUUUUACAAGAGAGCAAAGUGUAGGUUUUAAAAUGACAGGGGAUGAAAGUGAAAAAUCAGAUUUUGACAAGAAAAUUUUAUGUAAUUUAGCCAUUGAUUUAAUCCACCAAAUGAGAAAUGUUGCUUUUUUCAUAACUUACAUAUUUGUAACAAAUGAAAUCCACUUGUUUCUUUUUUCUUUUUUUAGUUGGUAAGACGGUUAACGAGACAGGCCAGGUUUGGGCUUGGGUUUUAUUUCUGCUGAGUUACGCGUGCAUGAUGAAGAUCAAAUGAACUACGUCAUUGUUACUAACGGGAGACAAAUAUUGCGCCGUUAAAUUAUAAAUACGUUGGUAAAUAGAACUGUCUGUAAUACCAUGUUAUGGAAAAGAUCGGCCUGAAUAGGAAACAAGCGGAUAAUGGACUUAAAAGCAACCAAUAAUAUAUUACCAUCUUAUUUCCUCAUAUUAUACGAGUUGUAAAUUGCAUAACCACGCUAGAUGGAAAAGUAGGAAGGGUUCGUUAAAUUCAAGUUCCGAGCUAAUCGGUUUAAUAGUCUGCUGGUGGGUCACUUGAUAGGCCAGAAAUAGCGCGAUGUUCAGAUUGACCAAGGCAGACCCUUUCCUUGGAAUCUACAUGAUUAAACAACCGAAGAAUCAACAGAAGCAACUACUCUCAGUAGUUAGGCACAGUUGUUGUAAUCGUUAGUUUUUUUUUUUUUUCCGCCCCUCUCAAGGCCCGUAAUGUCUUACCUAUAUAGUUUAGUUUAUCUUUUCAAUGAAUUGAAGCGGAUAACGUACUACCUUUUCCUCAAUAAAAAUAAUCAUACUAAAUUAAUUUUUAACCAAAAUUAUUUAUAUAGAACAAAAUUAAUUCAACAGCUAAGUCAAACAUGCCCUAAUGCAUCUUAUUGUGCCCUAGUGCAUCUUUAAUGAGAUUCCUACCAUUUAUAUUUUGUUCCUACGAAGAUAUGGGAAUGUAAUUAAAUAAAUGUACUCUACCUUUGCUAUUAUUUUUGUACAGUACAUUGUUCUUUUCAUAUUAUGCACCAAAACUUAAUUGUUGUACUCAAAUUUAUUUUUAACCCUUAUGUAUAAUUACAGAUUGAGAAAUUGCAAACAAAUGGACAUCAUUUUAUCCAACAUUGGUAUAUAGUUCACAAAUUUAAUUAAUUCGAUUAAUUCCUUCGCAAACAACUAGUUUUGCUGCGAAAUGUGGAUCCGUGUAUUUCUUGAUCUUAAGAGAAUUGGUUUUGGCGCGAAUACGACGUAGUUAAUUACUUUCUUUGGCACGAAUUACGUAUUUCUAUAAAAAUAACUGGUUUUUGCGCGAAUAUAAUACACUUUAGAAAUUUAGAAAUGCAAUUCUCAAUUAAUUUCCUUACAGAUAAUUAGUUUUGCUGCAAACGUGCGCUGAUUUGUGUAUAUAUGUAUAUUUUUUCUCUUAAAAGAACCGGUUUUGGCGCGAAUGGGGCGUAGUUACUGUCUUUGGCGCGAAGAACGUAUUCCCGUUUAAAUAACUGAUUUUAGCGCGAAUAUGUAGUAACUGUUUUUGGCGCGGACACAACGCAAUUUAGAAAAAUAUAUAUUGUUAAUAUUUACAAGUUUUACAUAAAUUAUUGGCAUUUGCAGGGUGUUUGUUUUUGUAUUACAAAAAUGGUAAAAUUCAUCUCAAAUAUAGUGGAUCCUUUGAAACAUGAAUAGGAAAGAGAAAAAUACCAUAGAUAUAUAUAUAUAUCAUUGUACACAAACAAGCAAGAGCCAAAUAGAAAACAAGUUCUCUUUAUUUAUAUUAUUAUUUUUAUAGAAUGUUGAUAGGUAGAGAUAUAUGAAGAUACUAUAAUAAGAACAUGCACCAUAACUGGUGAUGGACUCAACACAUGCAGUAGAAAAGGUAAAGCAUGAGAAAAUUAUAAAAAGAGAAAGACACAACCUCUGGACUAGAAUGAGUGACUUUUUUGUUCUUGUUGCUGAAAAACGCAGAAGCAUAUAUAUGAGUUCACUCAUUCAGAAUGGAUAGAAGGAAUCGAGCCACGGAUCAGCAACGUAGGGGUCCAGGUACGGCGUCUGCAGCUCCGCCCACGGGCCGACCAUUGGAGGCUGCGGCGUAGGUGUAUCGGCCGGCGGCAGCAGACUGCUGUCGUGCCUGUUCAGAACUUCCACAGCAGCAGCAGCAGCAGCAGCAGCAGACUGAGGAUCAUGAUCCACGACACGCACGGCCGCCUCCUCCGCCGCCGCCUGCAGCGGCACUCCCCCCUCCGGCGUCGCGGAGUACAACUGACGAAGUUGGGUUUCCAGCUGGUCGUAGACCGACUUGAACUUGGCAUCGAGCAUCCAAGUGAGCGACGCCACCUCCUCGACCUGCGCCAGGUUGCUGAAGCUGCUGCGCCGCCCGGACAGGCCCUCGGCCACGAGCGCCAGCAGCUCCCCCUGGCGGUUCUCGCGCAGCUGGCGGCGCUGCGCGUCCCGCAUCUUCCCCACCCGCUGCCGCAGGAAGCUCUCCUGGCUGACCAUCUUCCGCCGCCGCUCGCCCUCCGGCAAGCCCCUGAACUGCGUCACCACGCGCGCCACCCCCCGGGGCUCCGACGGCAAGAUGUCCGCCGGGAAGCGGUCGCUCGGGGUGCCGUACACGAUCAAGCACGCAUCGACACCGCACAGCACGCUCAGCUCGUGCACCUUCUUCAGCAGCCCCUUGCGCCGCUUCUUCAUCGUCGUCCGCCGCGUCGCAUCGUUCGCUAUCCACAUGAGCUUCACCUUCUUCCUCGCCAUCCCGACAAGUCAACGACAACGACAACGACAACGACAACAACGUCAAUCCCCGCAAAAAAGAGAAAACACAAAAAAACUACUCUUAUUUUGGUCUUUUUCCUUUUCGGACUCUACAUGUAUUUAUAGUCCUUAGAUUCUAAUUUUCAAACACUAAACAACUUUCUUAUAUUUUCUCGCGAAAUAUCGUGAUUGGCUCCUUUUUGGAUUUGAGUGUGACUCAGUACACAGCGUAGUACAUUAAUUACGGUACAAAAUCUCAGGGGCGCCCUCGCUGGACAUGUACACUAGUUCAUUAACUGAUACGCUAAAUUAGUAAUACACUCUAUUUUGCGUACGUGGCGCGAUACCAUUGGCCACACACAUAUUUUUAGCAAACACAAAUUAAUUAAAACAAAUUUUUUAAAAAAAUGAAGUGCUAAUGCACGAAUUUAAGCGAAUCUUUGCUAAGAUUUGGAGAAAAAUUGCAUUUAAAUUAAUUCACUAGAAAAAAUUCUCCCUGUAUGACCAUUUUAUCUACUGUUCAUUACGUACAUAGCACGAAUCUUAAAACUGCAUGAAUGGCUGAGACAUGAGGUGGUGCACGUCUCAUGUUGGGAAUUGUCCCCACUAUUAUGUUUUUUUAUUUUUUCAUAUAUAUUAUUAUCCGGUUGUCGGAAUUUUUGCAUGUUCAGUGAAUCUAAUUACAAAUUAAUUUUGAGGAAAUUAAUUUUUGUUGUUGGAAGGGUGUCUAUGGGUUGUUCACAACCUGACAAACAAUAAAUGCAAAUUAUAUAUUCAUCUACCUGUGCCCAUAUAUAUAUAUCAUAUAUAUAUAUAAAUAUAAAUAUACACCUUUUGUAACAUUUAAAUUUUUAAUUUAAAUUUGAUUUCUCAUUUAUCUCAAAUUUUAAACAUAAGAUCUACUUUUUAAUUAGCUUGUUAAUUUCCUCAUACAAAUUAAAUCUAAUAAUAUCAUAUUAUAUAUACAUAUAUGGUAAGCAUAUACAGCGAGACACAUACAUCAACAAUUAAUGUGUGCAUUUCAAAUAGUACAUGUACAUAUCUAAAAAUUACUUAAUUUCAUGAUUUUAACACAAUGAGAUAUGUUCAGGAUCUCGAAUUAAAAAAUUUUCAUUUCUCAUUUCUAGUAAUGGAGAAGAAUCAGAGAAUUUUAGUGUUGUGUUGCCGCAUAAUAUUUUGGUAGACGCUAGUGAAUAUAAAAUAUUAAAAGCAUCAUUCCCUGACGCCAACUUAAUUAAUUAAGCUUUUAAAGUAUAAUCAGUUAUUUCAUAAUUAUUUCACACGCUAUCGAUCAAAUUCGCACGCUCAUCACAUAUCACUGGAAAGAUAAUUUGCUAUUUUCAAAUUUCGAAUGUCAAAUAUAUAUAUAUAUAUAUAUAUAUAAAUAUAUAAUAUAUUGCAUUGGAAUCGAUUUGCGAAGAAAUUUUGAUCAAAUGCAUGUGAAAAAUAUGAAUGUUCUAUCAAAGCCUCCAUAUUAAAUAAUUAAUUUAUUUCAUUUUAUGGACCAAAAAAAUUGCUUAUAGUGACAGGGCAAUGUAAUAUAAUUGCUGGCAAUAAGAGAUUAUAUAUAAUCAUAUGAAUAUAUAUAUAAUAUAUAAUAUAUAUAGUAUUCUUUUUUCUACAUUAAAGGAGGUUGGGGGCUCCAUAGGUGACACUGUAACCCCCAAACGCCUCUUUACUCCCCCCUCUCCUCUCUCUCUCUCUCUCUCUCUCUCUCUCUAUAUAUAUAUAUUUUAUAAUUUUAUAUCAAAAUUAAAAUUUUCAUACUUUCAAAUUUUAAAGUUUUAAAUUUAAAUUUAUAUUUUAAAUUCAAAUUUCAAUUUUAACUAUAUAUUUAUUUCCAAUUUUGUAACUUCAAAAUUAAAAUUUAAAUCCUAAACUAUGAUUUAAUUAAUUUAAUUUUAUAAUAAAUACGCGUAAUAAAUUGGCACAUAAAACUAACAGAUAGAUUUAUAUUUAAAUACGUAAAAUGGUUUAGUAAAAAAAUACAUAAUUUUAAUUUCAAGUGAAAUUAAAAAUAUAGUGUAUAUGUGUAUAUAUAUAUAUAUAUAAUUAAUUUUAUAUAAGCAAUUUUUUCUACAAAUUUAUUUCCCUUCUAUCUAUUGAUUUUUAAAAAUUAUUUUAAUAGAUUUAUCUCUUUAUAAAAUAAAUGAUAAUAAUUACUUGCACAUAUACCAAAUUUAAUGACUUUAUUAAAUAGAUUAACUAUUACAUCAUUUUUUAUAUAAUUUAUUUAAUUAAUAAGUUAACUUAUAAAAUUAUAUAAAAAUAUUAAAAAAAUAAAAUUAUUGUCAAAAUAUUUUUAGAUCCGCAGCAUCGCCGAACAUUAAAGGAGGUUGUGGGAGGCCCAAGAGAGUGCACGAUCACCCUCCCAAACCCUCCUUCACUCUUCUUUCCAAUAUAAUAAUAAUAUAUAUAUAAUAUAUAUAAUAUAUAUAUAUAUAUAUAAUUUUAUAAUUUGAUAUCAAAAUUUAAAAUUUGAUAUUUAAUUUUAAAAUUUUAAAUUUUAUAUUUUAUAUUUUAAAUUCUAAUUUAAAUUUAACUUAUAAUAUUUAUUUCUAAUUUGUAACUUCAAAAUUUAAAUUUUAAUCUAAACUCUAUAAAAUUAUAAAAUAAUUAUUAAUAAUACGGGUAAUAAAUCGGAUAAUAAAAUUUAACAUAUAAUUAAUUUAAAUAUAGUAAAAUAUCGUUGUAUAAAAAAAUACAUAAUUAAAAUUUCUUCAAAACUAAAAUUUUAAAUAUCUGUAAACUCUAUGAAAUAAUUAUUUUAUUAAUAAUAUGGCAUAAUAAAUCGUAUAAUAAAAUUAAACAUGAUAGAUUUAAUUUAAAUCACUAAAAUAUCGUUGUAUAAAAAAGACAUAAAUUUAAAUUUUAGUGAAAAUUUUAAAAAUAUAGUGUGUAUAUAUAAUAAUAUAUAUAAUAUAAUUUAUUAAGAUUUAUUCUAGCAAAUUACUUCCCUCUCUAUCUAUGAUUUUUUAAAUUAUUUAUAAGAUUUACUUCAAUCUUCUCUUAAAUCUUUAUAAAAUAAAGUGGUGUAUAAAUUUAUUUGAGGAUAUAUCAUUUUAAGAUUUAACAUAUAUAAUUAUUUUUAUAUAAUUUUUAUUUAAUGAUAUAAUAAGACUUAUAAAACUAUAUAAAAAUAUUAAAUAAAAUGUUAUUAUAAAAAUUUUAGAUCCGCAGGCAGUCAGCGCGGGUAUUUCACUAGUAUAUAUAUAUAGUACACUUUCUCGUACGAUAUAAAAAUUAACUAAUCAUGAAUCGUACACAUAUGGAAUUUGUACCAUUGAAAUUCAACCUAUAAUUAAAUUUAGCGUGUUACGACCUGAUUUUUUCUGAGGCAAAAUGCGAAUCCUUCACUAGUGAAUAUUAAAUAUAUUGUUUAUAAGUUAUAAUUUUUUCUUUUUUCUCCACAAAAGAAAAAAUCAGGUCAUAAGUUAUUUAUUCAUAUGUAUAUAAAAUAUAUUAUUAUUUCAUAAGUUAUAUUAAAUAUAUUGUUCAUAUGUAUAUAAAAUUUUAUAUAUUUAUUUCUGUAGUUUUCGAGGCUACUCGUUAAUUGUAUGUGAAAUUUAGCAACCUAUAUCUUUAACGUAUUGCUGUGUUAUUUGUCCGUAGCGAAGCGCGAGUUCUUUAUCAGUGAUUCAGGAUAAUCACGACCAAAAACACAUAUUUUUCUCUCAUAAGAAACAAAAAGUAAAUACAAAUUAAUUAAACAUAUAUAGUGUUGCGAGUUCUUUUAAAAUAUUUUAUUUUAUUUUAUUUUUUAUGAUGAUAUUUUUUUUUUUUUCGAAUGUUGAUCACCACCACGUACGCACGUGAAAUGACAUGCAAGCACGUGGAGUGCACGUGUGGGUAGCACGUGGAGUGCACGUGUGGGGAGCACGUGGAGUGCACGUGUGGCUUCCCCCCUCUCUUCUCGCAUCGUUGGAUUCGGUGGGGUUUAUUUUAUUUUAUUUUAUUUCUCUCUCUCUCUUAAAUAGUGUUUGGUUGAGGGAUAAGCUUAUCUGAAUUGCAAAUAUUUUUAAUUUAUUGUCUAAUUUUUUAAAUUUUAAAUUUAUUAUCUAAUUUUAUUUUACAAUUUAGAUGUGUAAUUUAUCAUUACCGAUUAAUUAGCAGAUUUUAUAUACUUUGCAUGACUAUAUAUAAAACUAUUAAAAUAAUUGAUGAGUUUGAAUUUUAUAUUGAAAAAAUUAUCAAAUAUCUUAAGUCAAACAAACCGAAAAGUUGAAUACCAAAAUCAAAAUUUUAAAAAUUUUGGUAGCGGAAUCCGAAAAUAAAUAUUAUCUUCAAUCUUUUUCAUUUUUGGGUUUGAAGAUUCUUAAGUUUUUAAUUUGUUUUAUCUUCAUAAAAUUCCUACUAAUCAUCUUUUUUAUGGAAUUUAAAUAUAAACUAUCACUUCUAAGUUUUAUAAUUAAUCUCUUUUUUCCCCUAUUUAUCUUUGCAAAUAUUCUAUAUGGCCAAUUUGCAUAAAAAAAUGUUAAGAGACUCCCUAAACUAUGAAAGUUUUGAAAUGGGACCCUCAACAUUUUUGUCAUAAAAUCGAAAUUUUAAUUCUCCAAUUCUUUGAUGAUUUUAUUUAAUUUAAUAUAUAGUUUUAGCUACUUUUUACCAAACUAAACCAGACCAAUUAACAAAUAGCAGCUAAUAGAGUCAUUAAAUUUAAUAAAAUUUAAAACUCAAUUUGCUAAAAUGACUCAAAUAACAAAAAUUGGAUGCAAAAGAGGAGUAUUCAAUUGCAAAAAAAAAUUUUAAAAAAAGUUGGAUCUCCAUAGAUUUUCCACAAAUUUGUUUGAAAAAUAAAAGGUUAAGAUUUUGUUUUUUAGAUCUUUUUUGAAAUUGUUCUAAAAGUAAAGGAAUUAUAUAGAAUAGGUAAAAACAUCUGGAACUUAUUUGAACUAUAGAACAUUCUAAUUUGACUAUGAAAUAUUUUAAAAUUUUAAUUUUACCAUCCAAAUUUUUAAUUAUUUUUCAUUUACCUCAAUUUACAUUGAAUGCAUUGUUUAUCUUUACAUAUUUAGCUAAUAUACUCUAUGCAAUUCUCGCAACUAUAAAUUAACUUAAAUUAUAAAGUCAAAAUAUCCUUAACUAAUUCAAAUCAAAUAAAUUAAAAAAUUAAUGGUAAAAUUAAAUUUUAAAAGUUUAGGGUAACUGAUUCAAAAUGAUCUAUAGUUGAGGUGAAUUUUAUAUGUUUUUACCUCCAUAUAUAUAUAGAGAGAGAGAGAGAGAGUUGAGCUAGAAUACUAUCGAUAGUAAACGAGCCGUUUUACUAUCGAUUUGUUUUUGAUGAUAGAGCUUCCAAAUUGACGACCGGUUCCGUUAAAUAUAAUCUAAACCAUUUAAACUACUUAGCACUUUCGAUAUUGUUCUUUUAUCCAUCAAGUGAACAGAAAAAUAAAUAGUUGAAAAUGAAUAUCCUUUAAAAAAUAAUGAUAAGAGUCUUGUAAUCAAGAUCAAGAGUAUAGAUCUUGUUUUAAAUAGUUUAAAGAAUUUUUUAACAAAAAUUCAAUUGAUUUGAAUAUCUUUACGCCGUUAAACGAGAAAACGCCUCUUAUCGACCAUUAAAAUUACAAAUUUUGAAAUUCUUUGAUCAUUAGGCAAAUGAUGUCCAAAAGAUUUGAAAUUUGAUUUCUAAACACUUCGAGUGGUAUAGAUCCUGUUCAACGGAGCCGAUCGUCAAUUUGGAAGCUCUAUUAUCGAAAACAAAUAGGUGGUAAAACGGCUCGUUUACUACCGAUAGUAUUCUANAGAGAGAGAGAGAGAGAGAGAGAGAGAGAGAGAGAGAGAGAGAGAGUAAGAAAAAAAAAUUAAUUUUCCCAAUAAAGUUUGGUUGAGUUUGUCCUUUUCUACCUGGCUGUUGUGUUUAAUGUGGCUUGUCUCCUCUUUAAGUACAAUGGAGGUCUUGGUGUCUCCUUGGUGGGGUUUUGCAUUUGUGUUUGAGUCCAUCUUGUGAUAAUCCUAAAAAUUGUCAUUAUUUAUUUUUAUUUUUUCUUUUCUGAUCUGUAUUAGGUCAUUCUAGUCAUUUAUUUUUGAGACAAGCCUCAAGUUUGUUACAACUAGCACACAAAUAAAAAUAAAAAACGGCGAACGUGAAGUAGACAAAUCAUAAAUAAAAAAAAUAAAAUAAACAUAAAGAUUCACAUGAAAAAUUUUUUGUAGAAAAAAAAAUCACGAAGUAAGGAGGAGAAAGCUUACAAAUGUUGCAUCGUGUCUAGGGCAAAAGAGAAGAAGAAAGUCUCUUAACGGAUUCUUCAUUAUUGGAUCAGAUUCGUACGACGGGAAGCUCCGGCCGAUAGGCCCGAGCCCUUCGCUAUCCACCACUGAUAUCCAUUUUUCCUUUACAAUUUAUUUUUUUUCAAAAAUCUGUCGCACUGUAAAACUGUGACGAAUCGGGGACCGGCCCAAAAAACAAAGUCGAUCAAUAACCAAUUUCGAAGCAUUCAAGUCCAAAACAGGAUCUCAAACUUUCGACCUUAGUUUAUUUUAUUUUCAUAGAUAGGUAGCAUACUAUUCGUUUCGUUUAUUUUUUUAGAAAUUAAUAAACUUAGCUGGAAAUAUGAAUUGACUAAGAUUUGAAUUUGGAACAUCGGAUACCAACUACCAAAUUAUUUGCCACUUGCUCAGGGACGGUCGGUAACUUCCAACCUUAUUGUUGAUAUUUUCUAAGUGUUUAGUAGGGUUUAGAUAUAAAAACAGCAUUUUAAUGUUCCAAAAUAAUUAAUAAUUACCAACAUGCCUAUCUCUUUUACAAUUAAACAUCAAAUUUGUUCUUCUGAAAUUUAAAUUAUUAUACCUUUUUUGUCAUUUUUUUUCUCUCAUGUUGUUCGAUAUGAACAUUAAUUAAUUCCUACAUUAUUCGCGAAUUUUUUUUUAGUUAUUUAUUUAUGCACAGAACGGUAGAGAAUUUGCUUGGAAUGAACAUCAAAUGAAAGAUUAAACCAUCAUAUCUUAAUAAAUUAUAGGCUAAACUUCAAAUACCAUGCUUUAGUUUAAAGUAUAUCGCUUUAGUAUUUUGUGGUUUUAUUUUUUUUUCUUUUUGUCAGUCCAUCCGUUAACUCUUCGUUAAAUCAUAUACAAAAAAACUUCAGAUACACCACCUAUAGUUUAUUGACUAUUUAUUUUAGUAUUAUGUGGUUUACGAAUUUUUAUUUAGUACCUUAUAAUUUUGAAUUUGGCACUGAUUUAACGAAAAAAAUUAACAAAGUGGAUAACUGAGAGAGAAAAAUAAAAUUAACAGGAUAUAAAAGUUAUAUAUUUUAAAUCAUAGGUUAUUAAAAUAAAAAAGCACGAAAUUAUAGAAAUGAUAUUUAAUUUUUUUUCUAAAUUAUAUAUAAAGAGUCAAAAAAAAUUAUUCUAGUACUCAUUUUACACUUUAGUUGCUAGGUAAGUGUGGAGAGCACUCAUGAUUUAUAUAUUUUAUAUUUUAUACUAUAUAUUAGCUUUAUAUUAUAUAUUAUCUAAAGCUACACAAUCAAACAAAACCAAACUCCAACAAUGUUGGACUCUUGAGAAAAAGAAAGCAACUUUAAAUUAAAGCCUAACCUUAAUAAGCAGGUCAAAUCAAUUUCUUUAUUCAACAGCAUUAUUUAAAUACCAAAAACACAUCAUCCUUUACUGUGCUUCUAAUUUUUUUUUAAAACAAAGUUGUCGUAUAUCGCGUAGUUUUUUUUUUUUUUUUUUUGAGAGAUAGGUAACACGCUACCCGCUUCGUUUAUUUCAUUUAAAAAUAAACUUAGCUGGAAAUGUGAAUCAACUAGGAUUCGAACUUGGGUCUCGAAUAUCAACCACCAAGUCCUUUGCCACUUGCUCUUCGGUCAACUGUACGUUAACCAGCUAUAAUAGCAAAAAAUAAAAUAAAAUUCUAAAACACAUCAACUUAUAUAAUAUUAGUAUUUAAAAAGUAAAAAAAAAAAUAGUUAUUUAGCGUACAAUGCAUCAGCUGUACUUUUGCAUUACGCUCCUAAAAUUCAAUCAUAGAGAAUUCAAAAUUAAAUUUUAAAAUAGAGGCUUGGCCUCUUGUGCUAUGAGGGGUUUGGCAUGGACUUUAAUAAAAGGAUUUAAUGCUACUUCAGUGUCUAUGGACAUAACUUUAAAAAAGAAAAAACGAAAAAAAAAUUCAAAUUUUAAUUUAUUAGUUGAAUUUCAUGACAGUUUAAAAAAAUCCUAUGUUUUUUCUAACUCUUAUUUCUUGUGAAUAUAGACAUCAAACAUAUAUCUAAUUAAAUUUUAACUUAAAAACAUUAAUAAUUUGAAUAUAGAGCGUAUAUAAUGGGUAGUGUCACGCACUAAUAUACCGUAUUUUUCUUUUUAAAAUACAGUAUUUUUCAAAUUAUACGUGUAUACAAAAUUAAAAAGUGUUUUUUAACUAAAUUGACGUGAGACCCACAACACUCAAUCUUAUUGACAUGAUUUUUAUACCAGUUUCUUAAACUGUAGAUAUGCAAUCAUUUUAGGAAAAAUUUAAAAUACCACUCCUGCGGUUUCACACUUUCUUAUUUUAGAAUUCUAUGAUUUAAAGUGUAUCAAUUUAGUGUCCUAUGGAUUUAUUUUUAUCUUUUCAUUAUCGAUUCUAUUAUUUUUUUCGUUAAAUUGGGGACAAAGUUAAAACUAAAAGGUACUAAAGUUAAUAUUUGAUAAACCUGGGUGGGGUAUCUGAAGUGUUUUCUAUAUAAUUUAACAAAAUAUUAACGAAAAAAUUGACGAAAGGAUAAAAAUAAAAUCACAGGACACUAACCUGAUACACUUUAAAUUAUAUGGUACUAAAGUGAGAAAAUAUGAAACCGCAGAGAUGGUAUUUGAAGUUUACUUUUAAUUUUAUGUGCAAAUAAUCGUACAU
rnacentral:lncRNA from 1 species